rnacentral:rRNA from 1 species
GAUGAACGCUGGCGGCGUGCCUAAUACAUGCAAGUCGAGCGAACGGACGAGAAGCUUGCUUCUCUGCUGUUAGCGGCGGACGGGUGAGUAACACGUGGAUAACCUACCUAUAAGACUGGGAUAACUUCGGGAAACCGGAGCUAAUACCGGAUGAUAUUUUGAACCGCAUGGUUCAAAAGUGAAAGACGGUCUUUCUGUCACUUAUAGAUGGAUCCGCGCUGCAUUAGCUAGUUGGUAAGGUAACGGCUUACCAAGGCAACGAUGCAUAGCCGACCUGAGAGGGGGAUCGGCCACACUGGAACUGAGACACGGUCCAGACUCCUACGGGAGGCAGCAGUAGGGAAUCUUCCGCAAUGGGCGAAAGCCUGACGGAGCAACGCCGCGUGAGUGAUGAAGGUCUUCGGAUCGUAAAGCUCUGUUAUUAGGGAAGAACAUAUGUGUAAGUAACUGUGCACAUCUUGACGGUACCUAAACAGAAAGCCCCGGCUAACUACGUG